rnacentral:rRNA from 1 species
CAGAACGAACGCUGGCGGCAGGCCUAACACAUGCAAGUCGAACGCCCGCAAGGGGAGUGGCAGACGGGUGAGUAACACGUGGGAACAUGCCCUUUGGUUUGGGAUAACUCAGGGAAACUUGAGCUAAUACCGGAUAAGCCCGAGAGGGGAAAGAUUUAUCGCCGAAGGAUUGGCCCGCGUCCGAUUAGCUAGUUGGUGAGGUAAUGGCUCACCAAGGCGACGAUCGGUAGCUGGUCUGAGAGGAUGAUCAGCCACACUGGGACUGAGACACGGCCCAGACUCCUACGGGAGGCAGCAGUGGGGAAUAUUGGACAAUGGGCGCAAGCCUGAUCCAGCCAUGCCGCGUGAGUGAUGAAGGCCCUAGGGUUGUAAAGCUCUUUCGCCAGGGACGAUAAUGACGGUACCUGGAUAAGAAGCCCCGGCUAACUUCGUG